GGGUGCAAUCAUACCAACACUAAUGCACCGGAUCCCAUCAGAACCCUGAUGUUAAGCGUGCUUGGCCAAUGAGUAGUUCAAAGAUGGGUUUUGUCAC
rnacentral:rRNA from 1 species